AUUAUACCCCUGCGUCCUAAAAUUCUUAUCUUAGAUUCGUCUAGAUGCAGAUGUAUCUAAUACUAAAACGUGAUUUGAUACAUCCGUAUUUAGACAAAUUUAAAACAAGAAUUUUGGGACGAAGGAAGUAUCAU
rfam:Triticum aestivum genome assembly, contig: Triticum_aestivum_CS42_TGACv1_scaffold_113641_2AS